rnacentral:lncRNA from 1 species
AACUGGAAAACUGGAACUGUGAUGAACUGGAACAGUUACUGGCUUUGGACUGGAGAAAUGCCUUUGCUGUGUGUAAGCCAAGGCCCUUAGCAGAUGGCAACUCUUCAGCUGGCAUGGAUUAGGAUAGGGUGUUUCCUUGAAUAGACUAUAGCCUGGGGGAGCUGCUGGAUUAAGAUCCCUGUGAUUAAACCUGGUCUAUCAGCUCAUUAUUGCAUCUCCUGGCACCACUGAGCAAAUGGGCUGACACAGCACAGCUCCCUGCUGACCUCCCAGCAACGGCUGAUUGACUUUGCAAGGAUUUUUCAUUUCAGAAACAUUUGCAAUUUCCUGAAAUGACUCCAAAGAAUCACAUCAUUUUAUUUCAUAUUCGUGUUUGCUUGCAUCAGUUAUUUUGGGGGUAGGAAAGGAGGGGAUGAAAUUGUUUUAUAUAAAUAAGUUGAAUGUAUUUCAUAGCAAGCAAUGUUCUGACCCUGGCACUAUUGCCUUUCUACCCUUCUAUAUUGAAAUUCAUUGUGCUUGGAUAUCUCUGGUUUCCCAGAAUCCCACUGUUUCAUUUGUUUUGCUAUGCAGAAGUAUCAUUAUAGCUCACUUUAUGCCUUUUGUUAAGAAUUAGCACUCCUGAGAAUCAAAAAUGAAGAUGUGAAUGUUCACACAAUUAAAUAAUUGCAGGUAUUAACAAUGAGUUGUCCACCCACAGGCUCAGCAGGUGCUGGAGCAAUCGGCUGGGAAAUGGAGUAUUUCUGGACCUGGGCAUGUGUUCCCAGAAACCUGGUAAUUGAGGCAACAUGGAUUUUGGAAUGCAGAACAUCAGAACUACCAAACAUGCCCUGGAACAGAGAAUCACUACGCCUGCCCUGUUCUCCAGAAGGAUCUCCAAAGACAUGUAUUCCUAAUUUCGCUUCAGUAAGGUGUUCUGUUAUCCCCUUCUCCAGGCAGCUUCUCCUGACCCAGACUACAGCAGGGAGCAAUACUCACCUUGUGCCACAUUGCAACUGA